rnacentral:rRNA from 1 species
CCUACGGGGGGCUGCAGUGGGGAAUAUUGCACAAUGGGCGCAAGCCUGAUGCGGCCAUGCCGCGUGUGUGAAGAAGGCCUUCGGGUUGUAAAGCACUUUCAGCGGGGAGGAAGGCGGUGAGGUUAAUAACCUCAUCGAUUGACGUUACCCGCAGAAGAAGCACCGGCUAACUCCGUGCCAGCAGCCGCGGUAAUACGGAGGGUGCAAGCGUUAAUCGGAAUUACUGGGCGUAAAGCGCACGCAGGCGGUCUGUCAAGUCGGAUGUGAAAUCCCCGGGUUCAACCUGGGAACUGCAUUCGAAACUGGCAGGCUAGAGUCUUGUAGAGGGGGGUAGAAUUCCAGGUGUAGCGGUGAAAUGCGUAGAGAUCUGGAGGAAUACCGGUGGCGAAGGCGGCCCCCUGGACAAAGACUGACGCUCAGGUGCGAAAGCGUGGGGAGCAAACAGGAUUAGAUACCCCAGUAGUC